rnacentral:RNase_P_RNA from 1 species
GCGGAUGGCCGGAUGACCGCGUGGGGCAACCCGCGAGGAAAGUCCGGACUCCAUGAGGCAAGGGUGCCGGGUAACGCCCGGCCGGGGCAACCCGAGGGAAAGCGCCACAGAGAAGAGUCUGCCCGGCACGUUCGGGCGAUGGUGAAACGGUGGGGUAAGAGCCCACCGCGGACCUGGCAACAGGGACGGCAAGGCAAGCCCCACCCGGAGCAAUGCCGAAUAGGGACCCCGCGCCUGUAAGGUCCGCGCCUUAGCGGAGACCACAGGCAGGAUGCUUCAGCCCAGGGGUCCGGGUUGGCAGCUAGAUCCCACCGGCAACGGCGGGACCAGAGGAAUGGUCAUCGAAGGGAAGCGAUUCCCGGAACAAAAUCCGGCUUACAGGCCAUCCGCGCAA